rnacentral:rRNA from 1 species
AUUGAACGCUGGCGGCAGGCCUAACACAUGCAAGUCGAACGAGGGGCGGACGGGUGAGUAAUGUCUGGGAAAGUGCCCGAAGGAGGGGGAUAACUACUGGAAACGGUAGCGAAUACUGCAUAUCAUCGGCUGUGCCCAGAUGGGAUUAGCUAGUAGGUGGGGUAACGGCUCACCUAGGCGACGAUCCCUAGCGGGUCUGUGAGGGUGACCAGCCACACUGGAACUGAGACACGGUCCAGACUCCUACGGGAGGCAGCAGUAGGGCAUAUUGCGCAAUGGGCGCAAGCCUGAUGCAGCCAGUCCGCGUGUGUGAUGAAGCCCUUCGGGUUGUAAAGUGCUUUCAGCGGGGAGGCGUUACUCACAGAGAAAGCCCCGGCUAACUCCGUGCCAGCAGCCGCGGUAAUAC